ensembl:snRNA RNU7-41P RNA, U7 small nuclear 41 pseudogene
AAGCGUUACAGCUCUUUUAGAAUUGUCUAGCAGGCUUUCCAGUUUUUGCUGGAAAGCCCCU